rnacentral:rRNA from 1 species
AGGAAUGUAUAGCAAUAGCUAGUUGCAUCAUUGCAAAUAUGAUGCAAGAUUGACUAUGUCGAAUAAAAUUCUAGGUAGAGUUAUGAUAAUGACAUUUUCUGCCUAUGUGUCUUGACCAAAUUACGUGCCAGCAGUCGCGGUAAUACGUAGAAGACUAGUGUUAUUCAUGUUUAAUCGGUUUAAAGGGUACCUAGACGGCAGAUCAAGCUUUUCCACCCGAAUAAAAAAAAGGACUAAUUUGCUAGAGUUACUUACGAGGGGGUUUUAAAGUACUGCUGGUGUAGAGAUGAAAUUCUGUCAUACCUCUUUUCGAAAGAAAAAUAACGGCACAGGUAUAGGCGAAGGCAUCCCCUUAUGUGAUAACUGACGUUGAGGGACGAAGGCUUCAUAUAACGAACAGGAUUAGGUACCCCAGUAGUGGAGGCAGUAAAUGAUGAAUGUCAUAGGUUAGAUUAGUUUAGUCUAUAAAUGAAAGUGUAAGCAUUCCACCUCAUGAGUAAUUUGGCAACAUUGGAAUUGAAAUCAUUAGACCGUUUCUGAAACCAGUAGUGAAGUAUGUUGUUUAAUUUGAUGAUCCGCAAAAAACCUUACCACAAUUUGAAUAUUUAUAUUAUUUAUUGUUUUUUUAUUAAUUUUGUUUAAGCAAAGAGGCAAAAUUAAUAAACAGGCAAUAAGAUAUAUUUACAAGCGUUGCACGGCUGUCUUCAGUUAAUGUCGUGAGAUUUUGGUUAGAUCCAUUAAAUUAACGUAAACCCUUACUUUAUUUUUAGAUAGAGUUGUUCCCCACUAUAUUGGAUUAGAU